CCAUACAGCGCCUCUACCAACACGGGUGCUGUGCCUGGGAUUUAGAAACUCACAGGUUGCAUGAGCUCAUAUUUCCGUGCUGCCACAUGGACUUUGCAGCCAUGGGAUGGAUCUCUUGCUAGACCUCUCCACCCAAGCACUGGAGAAUUGGUAAAGCUCCCUACUCUCACUGGUCAGCAUAAACGCCCUCUGGUCCCAAGGGAGGGCUGUUGAGCUUGCAGCCACCCCGUGGUGUCCUGGUCUUCUUACUGAUGCUUCGUUCUCGGACCUCUACCCCUGGAGGCCAAGUCCAGAGAGAGGAACUCCA
rnacentral:lncRNA from 1 species